AUCCACAGCCAUAUCACCCUGCAGCCCAAGACCAGUUACUCACUGAAGCUAAGCAGGGCUGAGCCUGGUCAGUACCUAGAUGGGAGACCACUUGGGAAAACCAGGUUGCUGUUUGAA
rnacentral:rRNA from 1 species